rnacentral:rRNA from 1 species
UCGAGCGAGAAGUGGAGCAAUCCAUGAGUACAGCGGCGUACGGGUGAGUAACACGUGGAUGAUCUGCCUCUUAGUGGGGAAUAACCCUGGGAAACCGGGGCUAAUACCGCAUAAGCCUGAGAAGGGAAAGCAAGCAAUUGCGCUGAGAGAGGAGUCCGCGGCCGAUUAGCUAGUUGGUGGGGUAAAGGCCUACCAAGGCGACGAUCGGUAGCCGGCCUGAGAGGGCACACGGCCACACUGGCACUGAAACACGGGCCAGACUCCUACGGGAGGCAGCAGUGGGGAAUCUUGCACAAUGGAGGCAACUCUGAUGCAGCGACGCCGCGUGAGCGAUGAAGCCCUUCGGGGUGUAAAGCUCUUUCGGCAGGAACGAUAAUGACGGUACCUGAAGAAGAAGCUGCGGCUAACUACGUGCCAGCAGCCGCGGUAAUACGUAGGCAGCGAGCGUUGUUCGGAAUUACUGGGCGUAAAGAGUGUGUAGGCGGUGCUCUAAGUUCGGUGUGAAAUCUCCCGGCUUAACUGGGAGGGUGCGCCGGAAACUGGAAUGCUCGAGCGUGGGAGAGGAAAGCGGAAUUCCUGGUGUAGCGGUGAAAUGCGUAGAUAUCAGGAGGAACACCUGCGGUGUAGACGGCUUUCUGGACCAUAGCUGACGCUGAGACACGAAAGCGUGGGUAG